AUACUUACCUGGCAGAGGAGAUACCAUGAUCACGAAGGUGAUUUUCCCAGGGCGAGGCUUAUCCACUGCACUCCAGAUGUGCUGACCCCUGCGAUUUCCCCAAAUGUGGGAAACUCGGCUGCAUAAUUUGUGGUAACAAGAUUUAAAAAAAAAAAAAAAAGAAUUUUA